rnacentral:rRNA from 1 species
AGAGCGAACGCUGGCGGCAGGCCUAACACAUGCAAGUCGAGCGCCCCGCAAGGGGAGCGGCAGACGGGAGAGUAACACGUGGGAACGUACCCUUUGGUUCGGAACAACACAGGGAAACUUGUGCUAAUACCGGAUAAGCCCUUACGGGGAAAGAUUUAUCGCCAAAGGAUCGGCCCGCGUCUGAUUAGCUUGUUGGUGAGGUAACGGCUCACCAAGGCUACGAUCAGUAGCUGGUCUGAGAGGAUGAUCAGCCUCACUGGGACUGAGAACGGCCCAGACUCCUACGGGAGGCAGCAGUAGGGAAUUUUCCACAAUGGGCGAAAGCCUGAUGGAGCAACGCCGCGUGCAGGAUGAAUGCCUUAGGGUUGUAAACUGCUUUUAUAUGUGACGAUUAUGACGGUAGCAUAUGAAUAAGGAUCGGCUAACUCCGUGCCAGCAGCCGC